UAGUGCCUAAUUAGCAUUGCCUUCCCUGUAUUUACAUGCAUUCAGCUUGUUUUAGAUUUUCUUUUCUCUGAGGAUCAUUUUCUGAAAAUGCAUUUUUGCAGCAUACUCACAAGCCCAGGAAUAAUAGUUUUAAAAAUGCAUUGGAAAAUAUUCUUAGCCCCAAGACUGAAUUGAAACAGACAAUCACUGAUUUUAGUCAGGGUGAUACAGUGCUUAUCUUCUCACAACAAUGUCUGCAGUGAGGAGAUUACCAGCCACAUCUGAUGGCCACAAACAGUGCAGCCAACUGAGACAGGAGGAUUACAUCACAGCGAACUAUCAUGGCUUUGGCUGGGAUUGAGUUAACCGCCAUUGAGUCUUGUAUGGUGCUGUAUUUUGGAUCUGUGAUGAAAUAGCGGUAAUAACACAUGAAUAUUUUGGUUGUCACAGAGCAGUGCUGCGCAGAACCAAGGAGGUUUCAGCUUCUCACUCAGCCCUGCCUGUGAGGAGCUGGACGUGCACGAGCAGCUGGGAGGAGGCAGAACCAGGGCAGCUGACAAACUGGUGAAUGGGAAGUCCUAUGCCAUAUGGCGGCAUCCUCUGCAAUAGAAGCUGGAGUAAAGAAGGAGGAGGGGGGGGCAUGUUUAUCAUUGUGGUGUUUGUCUUC
rnacentral:lncRNA from 1 species